AGGGGCCUAUUGAUUGAUUCCAAAGAUAAGGUGACUAACGUCAGGGAUUUGAAACGGGGGUCACUUAUUUGUGUAACCUUAAAAAUUGGUCUGGGAAUGAGUGAAGAACAACUGGAAGAAAAAGAAGAAAGGCUGAUCUGGCGCACGGAGAGAAAGGGUGAUGGCUUCGCAGUUCCCCGGUAGACACUUGUGUCAUUCAAAAAGAACUGUGAAGAGGAAGAACAACUGACUCAGAAGUAGCUCACGGGAAAACAGCAACAGCAAAUACACAGAACGGCCUCACUGUUUACUUGGCACUCCAAGUAGUUCCUCAUAUCCAUAACCAUCAUUUCAUUAUU
ensembl:processed_transcript 4930511M06Rik RIKEN cDNA 4930511M06 gene